rnacentral:rRNA from 1 species
UACAGAGGGUGCAAGCGUUAAUCGGAAUUACUGGGCGUAAAGCGUGCGUAGGCGGUAGCGUAAGUCGGGUGUGAAAGCCCCGGGCUCAACCUGGGAAUUGCAUUCGAGACUGCUCUGCUAGGGUGCGGAAGAGGGGAGCGGAAUUUCCGGUGUAGCGGUGAAAUGCGUAGAUAUCGGAAGGAACACCAGUGGCGAAAGCGGCUCCCUGGUCCAGCACCGACGUUCAGGCACGAAAGCGUGGGGAGCAAACAGG